rnacentral:lncRNA from 1 species
UUUUUUUUAUUCAUUAUGUCUUCAUAUUGCUAAAUAAACACCCUAAGGGGUUUCAAACAAUUUAUUUUACUCACUUAUCACUUAUAACGUUUGUCAUUACCGAUUUGCUACAUGUAUAAUGAGUAAAUGGCAAUAUGUCGACUUUGAAAGAUAACUUCUAACAUUUUCUAGAAUAAGUCGCCGGCAAACACCAUAAUAGUUUAUUUUAGUUGUCUUAUGAAUAUGGUGUACUGCAGUCAUGUUACGAUAUUUGAGAUCUAGAGCUUUUUAAAAACAACGCUAACACAUAGGAAUAACCAAAGACCUCGGUAUCAGUCACUGCACACAGCUGCUUAGAAAUUGAACUGUUCAGUCGGACGCAAAAGGUGUAACUGAAAAGGACCGUGCACAACCAAGACGUGCAAAUGCAAAAAAAAGCGAUGGUACCGUGUGGAAGUAAAUAUCGUCCUAAGCUUACAUGCAGGAAUGCAUUUAUCUAUGAAAACUAACUAUGGCAUCAA